rnacentral:rRNA from 2 species
ACGGAAGGCAGCAGUGGGGGAUAUUGCACAAUGGGGGAAACCCUGAUGCAGCGACGCCGCGUGAGUGAAGAAGUAUUUCGGUAUGUAAAGCUCUAUCAGCAGGGAAGAAUAAAUGACGGUACCUGACUAAGAAGCCCCGGCUAACUACGUGCCAGCAGCCGCGGUAAUACGUAGGGGGCAAGCGUUAUCCGGAUUUACUGGGUGUAAAGGGAGCGCAGACGGUCUUGCAAGUCAGAAGUGAAAUCCCCGGGCCCAACCCGGGAACUGCUUUUGAAACUGUAGGACUUGAGUGUCGGAGAGGUAAGCGGAAUUCCUAGUGUAGCGGUGAAAUGCGUAGAUAUUAGGAGGAACACCAGUGGCGAAGGCGGCUUACUGGACGAUAACUGACGUUGAGGCUCGAAAGCGUGGGGAGCAAACAGGAUUAGAUACCCUGGUA